rnacentral:rRNA from 1 species
AGAAUCAACGCUGGCGGCGUGCCUAACACAUGCAAGUCGCACGAGAAAGGGGAGCAAUCCCUGAGUAAAGUGGCGCACGGGUGAGUAAUACGUGAAUAAUCUACCUCCGAGUGGGGAAUAACUGAGAGAAAUCUUAGCUAAUACCGCAUAACACUUACGAGUCAAAGCAGCAAUGCGCUUGGAGAGGAGUUCGCGGCCGAUUAGUUAGUUGGCGGGGUAAUGGCCCACCAAGACGAUGAUCGGUA